rnacentral:snRNA from 1 species
GAUCAAAGUGUAGUAUCUGUUCUUAUCAGCUUAAUAUCUGAUACGUCCUCCAUUGGGGGACUUCGAUAUUAAACUGAUUUUUGGAACUAGGCGAAGUGUCAGGAGCUUGCUCCGCCUUUGCCACGGGUUGGCC